UAAGGAAUAUUGCUCAAUGGGGGAAAUCCUGAAGCAGCAACGCCGCGUGGAGGAUGAAGGGUCUAUGACUUGUAAACUCCUGUAAAGAAGGAAAAAAUUCCCAUUUGAUGGGAGAUGAUGGUACUUCUGGAGUAAGCCCCGGCUAACUACGUGCCAGCAGCCGCGGUAAUACGUAGGGUGCAAGCGUUAAUCGGAAUUACUGGGCGUAAAGCGUGCGCAGGCGGUUCGGAAAGAAAGGUGUGAAAUCCCAGGGCUUAACCUUGGAACUGCACUUUUAACUACCGGGCUAGAGUACGUCAGAGGGGGGUAGAAUUCCACGUGUAGCAGUGAAAUGCGUAGAGAUGUGGAGGAAUACCGAUGGCGAAGGCAGCCCCCUGGGAUGAUACUGACGCUCAUGCACGAAAGCGUGGGGAGCAAACA
rnacentral:rRNA from 1 species